UUAUUGGAGAGUUUGAUCCUGGCUCAGGACGAACGCUGGCGGCGUGCCUAAUACAUGCAAGUCGAGCGAGUCCCUUCGGGGGCUAGCGGCGGACGGGUGAGUAACACGUAGGCAACCUGCCUCUCAGACUGGGAUAACAUAGGGAAACUUAUGCUAAUACCGGAUAGGUUUUUGGAUCGCAUGAUCUGAAAAGAAAAGAUGGCUUUUCGCUAUCACUGGGAGAUGGGCCUG
rnacentral:rRNA from 1 species